rnacentral:lncRNA from 1 species
AGCCGUGAAGACUGAAACAGCUAAUUAGCUCCAAACCUCCACUUGUUCAUCUGUCGCCUGUGGACGUUGAUACCCACCUCUGGGUUGCUGAGAGGCUUAAACACCGUCAGAACCGACCCCGACCGGAUGAAUGCCCGAGAAAGGGUCUCACUGUGGCGCUUGGAACAUGAACUGAGAGACCAUAAAGAAAAGUAGCUUCCCAGUUGGGAUUUACACCAACACUGGAAGAAAGCUGAGUCAGCUCCCUCCUCCUCAAAGGCCAGCAACCCAUCAACUGAUGAUCACAGAUGGGUCCCCUGACCAGAGGGUUUGGACCUCCUGGCAAAGGUUAGAAAACACCCCGAAGUUGGAUACCAUCCUCUGCCGGUCAGACUGUGGGAAGCAGACACCCUCACGCACUCCUGGGGAAGUGAAAGACGCUGCUGCUCUGGGAUGGAACGACCCCCCAUCGAUAACUACCAACAUCAUAGAAGUACUUAUCCAUUCAUGCAACAAUCCCGCUUCUGAGACUCUAGGGAACUUACUUGGUGUUUAUUGCAGUACUAUAAUAGAGAAAAGGUUGACAAUAAUCCAAGUAUUCACUGUUGUAGGUGUUUAAAUAAAUGACAGCACACCAUACAACAGAAUACCAUGCAACAGUGGAAGAAAAACAGAAGUUGUUUCUAGAAUGCUGAUCUGGAAAGAGCUUCCAGAUGUUUCCUAAAAUCAGAAAAGCAAAUACAUAACAAUACAUGUUGAACAUUAGCUUUUGUGUAAAAGUAGUAUAAAAGUGGUUACCUAACGGGAUGGCAAGAGCGGGAAUGGGAGGGAGACUUCUCAGUUUUAUUGUCAGAUCAUAUAACUAAGCCAUAUAGGAAAAAGGAAAUAUAACUGGAAAAAAUAAACAAGAAUGGAGCUGAGAGUGUGGCUCAGUGGUAGAAUGUGUGUUUAGACUACGGAGGCCCCAGGUUCAAUCCCCAGCACCAAAAAUAGUUUAAAUAAAAAUAAACAACCUGAAGGUUGAGAAAUCAUAUUUCCUAUAAUGUAGGCAAUGUCUAAAGGGCUACCAGCCUCACCAGAAACCCCAGGCAUCCAGACAUAUUUAUUGUGCUGUGUCAGACUUACAGAAUCCAGGACUGAUGAAGUUGUUAUGGACCCAGGAGUCUGCUUCUUUUCAUCUCCCUAUUUUUCAGAUAAAUAAACUGAGGCCCAGGGGGGUUUAGUGACUUGCACAAGGUCCAUAAUCAUUC